rnacentral:rRNA from 1 species
UAACGAGCCUGGUGAUAGCUGGUUGUCCGAGAAAGAAUUUUAGUUCAACCUUAAAAAUACCCCAAAAACCCUAAAUUCCAAUGUAUUUUUAAGAGAUAGUCUAAAAAGGUACAGCUUUUUAGAAACGGAUACAACCUUGACUAGAGAGUAAAAUCUUAAUACUACCAUAGUAGGCCUAAAAGCAGCCAUCAAUUGAGAAAGCGUUAAAGCUCAACAAAUUCACCAACAUAAUCCCAAAAACUAAUAACAAACUCCUAGCCCAAUACCGGACUAAUCUAUUGAAACAUAGAAGCAAUAAUGUUAAUAUGAGUAACAAGAAGCCUU